UUUGUACUCCCUCCGUCCCAAAAUUCUUGUCUUAAAUUUGUCUAAAUACGGAUGUAUCUAGUUACAUUUUAGUGUUAGAUACAUCCUAUCUAAACAAAUGUAAGACAAUAAUUUUGGGAUGGAGGGAAUACUAC
rfam:Triticum aestivum genome assembly, contig: Triticum_aestivum_CS42_TGACv1_scaffold_672295_T_7AL-0.042985_5DL-0.022072